AAAUUAAAUUAUGCAUGGUGGUUUUAGACGUCAGUGUUUUAAAAAAUAAAUGAAUCAAUAAAAAAAAAAUAGUAAAAAGGUGAAAUAACUAAGUUUGUAAGGUAAAAUAAUGGACUUUGAUACAGUAGUUACUUCUCUCUUUUUUUUAAGCGCCAUGCAGCAAAACUUCAUGUUCGGCACGCCUUGUACUUUUUCACACCACGUGCUCAUGACUUAGCUCGAGCGUCCUCCAUUUGCUGCUCCAACGCUGGUCGUGAUGCGGGCUUUUACUCGGACACACCAUAGCAAGACUACCACUCUAUAACCACAUGAAUUUCGGUUUAAGGCUUGCCUCGAGAAGCAUAAAAACUAGUUAUUUUUCUAUUUAUAUUGUUAAAGCAAACCUCAGUGGAAAUAGAGUCUGGAGAGGAGUUUGCUAGCGGGUGACUGCACGGACUUCGGAUAUGUGGACGGAAUUGUCGAGGAAAAAAGCGCAGACGAUGUUAACUACACAACACAAGAUCCUCAGCCAUGCAGCCCGCCUCCUCUCAUUUCUCCUCCUCACCGUGGUCACUCAGAACCCUGUCCCAGCCUCCAUCUUCAUCACUACCAGCUUUUUGACUCUGGGGUGUGGCUUGUGUAAAAUCCUGUCACUGCUGAGAUUUCUUCUGCUAUGAUGGGUCAUUGGAGUCUAACUGCCUAACAGUUACAUUUAUUUCUGUAUCUCAAUAAAUCAUGUUCUGUUUUUCCA